CAUGACAAUUAGGUGUCUGUAGACUAUAAAGACAAAUUGACUGAGUCCCUUGUUGAUGGCAACCUUCAUGAGGAUGGUGAAUCAUGAAUAGGCU